GAUGAACGCUGGCGGCGUGCCUAAUACAUGCAAGUCGAGCGAACAGACGAGGAGCUUGCUCCUUUGACGUUAGCGGCGGACGGGUGAGUAACACGUGGGUAACCUACCUAUAAGACUGGGAUAACUUCGGGAAACCGGAGCUAAUACCGGAUAAUAUUUCGAACCGCAUGGUUCGAUAGUGAAAGAUGGCUUUGCUAUCACUUAUAGAUGGACCUGCGCCGUAUUAGCUAGUUGGUAAGGUAACGGCUUACCAAGGCAACGAUACGUAGCCGACCUGAGAGGGUGAUCGGCCACACUGGAACUGAGACACGGUCCAGACUCCUACGGGAGGCAGCAGUAGGGAAUCUUCCGCAAUGGGCGAAAGCCUGACGGAGCAACGCCGCGUGAGUGAUGAAGGUCUUCGGAUCGUAAAACUCUGUUAUUAGGGAAGAACAAACGUGUAAGUAACUGUGCACGUCUUGACGGUACCUAAUCAGAAAGCCACGGCUAACUACGUGCCAGCAGCCGCGGUAAUACGUAGGUGGCAAGCGUUAUCCGGAAUUAUUGGGCGUAAAGCGCGCGUAGGCGGUUUUUUAAGUCUGAUGUGAAAGCCCACGGCUCAACCGUGGAGGGUCAUUGGAAACUGGAAAACUUGAGUGCAGAAGAGGAAAGUGGAAUUCCAUGUGUAGCAGUGAAAUGCGCAGAGAUAUGGAGGAACACCAGUGGCGAAGGCGACUUUCUGGCCUGUAACUGACGCUGAUGUGCGAAAGCGUGGGGAUCAAACGGGAUUAGAUACCCUGGUAGUCCACGCCGUAAACGAUGAGUGCUAAGUGUUAGGGGGUUUCCGCCCCUUAGUGCUGCAGCUAACGCAUUAAGCACUCCGCCUGGGGAGUACGACCGCAAGGUUGAAACUCAAAGGAAUUGACGGGGACCCGCACAAGCGGUGGAGCAUGUGGUUUAAUUCGAAGCAACGCGAAGAACCUUACCAAAUCUUGACAUCCUUUGACCCUUCUAGAGAUAGAAGUUUCCCCUUCGGGGGACAAAGUGACAGGUGGUGCAUGGUUGUCGUCAGCUCGUGUCGUGAGAUGUUGGGUUAAGUCCCGCAACGAGCGCAACCCUUAAGCUUAGUUGCCAUCAUUAAGUUGGGCACUCUAAGUUGACUGCCGGUGACAAACCGGAGGAAGGUGGGGAUGACGUCAAAUCAUCAUGCCCCUUAUGAUUUGGGCUACACACGUGUUACAAUGGACAAUACAAAGGGCAGCGAAACCGCGAGGUCAAGCAAAUCCCAUAAAGUUGUUCUCAGUUCGGAUUGUAGUCUGCAACUCGACUACAUGAAGCUGGAAUCGCUAGUAAUCGUAGAUCAGCAUGCUACGGUGAAUACGUUCCCGGGUCUUGUACACACCGCCCGUCACACCACGAGAGUUUGUAACACCCGAAGCCGGUGGAGUAACCAUUUGGAGCUAGCCGUCGAAGGUGGGACAAAUGAUUGGGGUGAAGUCGUAACAAGGUAGCCGUAUCGGAAGG
rnacentral:rRNA from 1 species